GUAGGGCGGGACACGUGGUAUCCUGUCUGAAUAUGGGGGGACCAUCCUCCAAGGCUAAAUACUCCUGACUGACCGAUAGUGAACCAGUACCGUGAGGGAAAGGCGAAAAGAACCCCGGCGAGGGGAGUGAAAAAGAACCUGAAACCGUGUACGUACAAGCAGUGGGAGCACCUUCGGGGUGACUGCGUACCUUUUGUAUAAUGGGUCAGCGACUUAUAUUCUGUAGCAAGGUUAACCGUAUAGGGGAGCCGAAGGGAAACCGAGUCUUAACUGGGCGUUAAGUUGCAGGGUAUAGACCCGAAACCCGGUGAUCUAGCCAUGGGCAGGUUGAAGGUUGGGUAACACUAACUGGAGGACCGAACCGACUAAUGUUGAAAAAUUAGCGGAUGACCUGUGGCUGGGGGUGAAAGGCCAAUCAAACCGGGAGAUAGCUGGUUCUCCCCGAAAGCUAUUUAGGUAGCGCCUCGUGAACUCAUCUUCGGGGGUAGAGCACUGUUUCGGCUAGGGGGCCAUCCCGGCUUACCAACCCGAUGCAAACUACGAAUACCGAAGAAUGUUAUCACGGGAGACACACGGCGGGUGCUAACGUCCGUCGUGAAGAGGGAAACAACCCAGACCGCCAGCUAAGGUCCCAAAGUCAUGGUUAAGUGGGAAACGAUGUGGGAAGGCACAGACAGCCAGGAUGUUGGCUUAGAAGCAGCCAUCAUUUAAAGAAAGCGUAAUAGCUCACUGGUCGAGUCGGCCUGCGCGGAAGAUGUAACGGGGCUAAACCAUGCACCGAAGCUGCGGCAGCGACACUAUGUGUUGUUGGGUAGGGGAGCGUUCUGUAAGCCGUUGAAGGUGUGCUGUGAGGCAUGCUGGAGGUAUCAGAAGUGCGAAUGCUGACAUAAGUAACGAUAAAGCGGGUGAAAAGCCCGCUCGCCGGAAGACCAAGGGUUCCUGUCCAACGUUAAUCGGGGCAGGGUGAGUCGACCCCUAAGGCGAGGCCGAAAGGCGUAGUCGAUGGGAAACAGGUUAAUAUUCCUGUACUUGGUGUUACUGCGAAGGGGGGACGGAGAAGGCUAUGUCAGCCGGGCGACGGUUGUCCCGGUUUAAGCAUGUAGGCGGAGGUUCCAGGUAAAUCCGGUACCUUAUUAACGCUGAGGUGUGAUGACGAGGCACUACGGUGCUGAAGUGAUAAAUGCCCUGCUUCCAGGAAAAGCCUCUAAGCAUCAGGUAACACGAAAUCGUACCCCAAACCGACACAGGUGGUCAGGUAGAGAAUACCAAGGCGCUUGAGAGAACUCGGGUGAAGGAACUAGGCAAAAUGGUGCCGUAACUUCGGGAGAAGGCACGCUGAUAUGUAGGUGAAGCCCCUGCGGGCGGAGCUGAAAUCAGUCGAAGAUACCAGCUGGCUGCAACUGUUUAUUAAAAACACAGCACUGUGCAAACACGAAAGUGGACGUAUACGGUGUGACGCCUGCCCGGUGCCGGAAGGUUAAUUGAUGGGGUUAGCGGCAACGCGAAGCUCUUGAUCGAAGCCCCGGUAAACGGCGGCCGUAACUAUAACGGUCCUAAGGUAGCGAAAUUCCUUGUCGGGUAAGUUCCGACCUGCACGAAUGGCGUAAUGAUGGCCAGGCUGUCUCCACCCGA
rnacentral:rRNA from 1 species